UCCUCGAUAGCUCAACGGUAGAGCGAAUGACUGUUAAUCAUUAGGUUCCUGGUUCGAAUCCAGGUCGGGGAGCCA
rnacentral:tRNA from 1 species